AUCGUAAUCAAGUAAUGAGGGUUAUAACACACAACACCACACUCCUAAUUCCAGGUCCAAUUUCCCAUUUACAGUUAUUUGGAUUUGUAUUGUAACAAACUUAACUAGAAAUUAACGUUUACCGAUUUUAAACUAUAUUCGUGGCACUAGGACUUUGGAUAUUCACUUCCCGAAUUUGUUCGAGUGCAUACGAAACAAUAGCUUGAAUUGAGGCAGGUAUGCAAUUUAAUUUACGAUUCUAUUAACCACGAUCAGGCGGCAAUUUAAAGAAAUAAUGGAAACUGUUUGAUGAUCAUGACUUUGAAAUAAAACUGAAAAUUAGUCUCAAAAACUUGCUUUGCUUACACACGUAAAAAUCUUGCAGCUUGUCAACAAGGUAUGCACUGCUCAGGUUCUCAGAUUUUGACAAGUCUGGAACAAGUUAUAUUAUCAUCUUG